AAAAAACACCAUUGAGCUCGACCUCAGAUCAGGUAGGAGUACCCGCUGAACUUAAGCAUAUCAAUAAGCGGAGGAAAAGAAACCAACAGGAUUGCCCCAGUAGCGGCGAGUGAAGCGGCAAGAGCUCAGAUUUGAAAUCGUGCUAAUUUUUUUGGCACGAGUUGUAGAGUGUAGGCGGGAGUCUUUGUGGAGCACGGUGUCCAAGUCCCUUGGAACAGGGCGCCUGAGAGGGUGAGAGCCCCGUGGGGUGCCGUGCGAAGCUUUGAGGCCCUGCUGACGAGUCGAGUUGUUUGGGAAUGCAGCUCCAAGUGGGUGGUAAAUUCCAUCUAAGGCUAAAUACUGGCGAGAGACCGAUAGCGAACAAGUACUGUGAAGGAAAGAUGAAAAGCACUUUGAAAAGAGAGUGAAACAGCACGUGAAAUUGUUGAAAGGGAAGGGUAUUGGGCCCGACAUGGGGAGUGCGCACCGCUGUCUCUUGUAGGCGGCGCUCUGGGCGCUCUCUGGGCCAGCAUCGGUUCUUGCUGCGGGAGAAUGGGUGCCGGAAAGUGGCUCUUCGGAGUGUUAUAGCCGGCGCCAGAUACCGCGUGCGGGGACCGAGGACUGCGGCUUCUGUCUCGGAUGCUGCACAACGGC
rnacentral:rRNA from 1 species